GUUUCACGGUUUCACCAAAUGACAAAUGCAGAGUAACCAGAGUUGCAGACAAUUAGAAAUGCAAAAUUGCAAAUGCUCCUUUGACUUAGCACCACUGCACCGCAGCACCAGUGACCACUCUUUUUUCAAAUUCCAAGUCCCCGUCUCCCACUCUCCCACUCUCCCUGACUCCUUUUCCCUUUCCCCUUUCCCUGGCAAUUUAAAAAAUCACAUUCCCCCGAUCCGGAGCGUUCUUGGCGAGACGAAGAUUCUGCAAUUUUGCAUAGACAACGAAGCAUUCCAGCCAGGAUUGCACUCUUGGACUGCCUUACUUUAUUUUCAGUACUGGGACACAAGAAAAGCCUGCUGCAUUCUUGUAUGAACGUGGAAACUCCUCGUAAGUUCACUGCCAAGGCAAUUCCAUGGAUCUGGUUUUCUUUUUCCACCACUAGUUUUUUUCCUGUUUGUGUUUUUAUCCAGUCAAGUUCAUUGUUUUACUAGCUAGUAGGGCCUUGAAAUAUUAUAUUCUCGUUGAAAUUUGAGAGUCCAAGACGUGUUGAUGAAAUGCAUGCAUCUGUUGAUAAGUAUGAAAAUUUUCAAAUGUGAAUGAAAGAAAAGAGUGUGUGUGUGUGGCAGUUCAUGUCAAAUUUCUUAUACGAGAGGGCUCUGUUUAAUUUCUUGCUUGCUGUUUUUGUGUGUUGUAAUUUCUUGUAACUAAGAUUGCUGGUUUUCAAUGUGUUAAGGUUUUUUAUAUUUUGCAUUUAAUUCUCAAUGUGUAUUACUGGAUAGGUCAGUCUUGGAUUGGAAUGCCUUUUGCAGUGCUUCUGUUGCCUUUUUGUGAAUUGUAAAUCAUUAGAUUACAUGUUGUCACCUGCCAUACUUUUGUAGUUUAAAUACUGGGAAACAAACAUUUCAAUUCCUUUGGAAAUUGGCAUUGUAUUUGGUGGCAGCAGGGCAAUUGAUGCUAAGAGCCUUGCCUGGCGUCUUUGUCUGGCUUCUUUGUCUUUGCUGAGACUUUGGCUUGUACAAUUUUUACCUUGUUGAAUACAGGUUGAAUCUGGAAUUGGUAAGUUCAUGUUCUUGUCUUUUAUGGCUGGAACAAAGUCAAUGAUUGGCAACUUCUAUUCUAUGUGUUGGGCAUUAAUACUAUUUGUCGGGUUUGCAUAUGCAAUUACAUAGUGUAUUCUUGUCCAGUUAUUAUGCUCUGAAGGAUGUUAAUUGAGAGGUCGGAGAAAAUUUCUGUCAAAAGAGAAAGGUCGAAUGCAGUGUGUUUAAUCUCUUGAUAUUCAAAUUUCAAAAACUGAGCUGAACAGGAAUGAAUAUUGGGAAGUGUCUGCUAAAUUUAAUCUUAGAGAGAAACAAAUUUUCGAACAACCUCUACUCCAAUUCUUACAUUCAACUUCAUGCUGUAGAUUUAUUGUGAGAUCCGAGAUUACAUACUUUCCAAGUAUUUUCUUUUGUUUUUAUUUGUUGACUUUGUAGACAGAGACAUUUUCUUCUGACUGUUUUCCCCAUCAUCUAUGGUUUCUUCAAACUUGAAUCUAGGAAAUUUAUGGCCAUGUAAUUGCCUAUUUGAAGAAGAAUACAAUUGUCUUUGCUGAGACUGUUUUCCCCAUUAUCUAUGGUUCUCCUAAGACAGUUCUAUUUUCCCCAUACCUGCCAUGCAAAUGUGUGCUGUAUAGUUGAUUUGCAAUCACUUUUUGUUUCUAUGUCUCUUGUUGAUUUGCAAUCUGUGCUGAAUAGUUGCCUUUUUAAGAUGUUUGGAUGUUUAUUUUGUGAUUUUACGAUUUCAAUUAAAAUAUUUUACUUGCGAUUUUACGAUUUUUAGUUAAAAAAUUUUACUUGCGAUUUUACGAUUUUACGAUUCGAGUUUAUAUUGUAUGUUCCGUGUCGUGUCAAAAAAGCGUUUUUGACAACCUUGGUUGGGCCCUCCUAGUUGGGUACAAGACCUACUAUCUCGGGGUCUUGCAGGGUAGUAGGACCUAGUAAACAUAGGUCUGGCUACGGAUCCAAACCCAAUAUCGUGAUAAUAUUACCUAAAAUAAUAUUAUAUUAUAAUAUUUAUGAAUUGUUUUGUAAUUGAUUUUAUUGUAAACAAAUUCUCUAAUAUAAUACAAAUAAAUAAAGUAUAUGAUGUGAAUAAAAAAUUUAUUUAGAGUUCCAUCAACUUUAAUAUGAUAAUAUUAUAAUUGUAAAUUUUUUAAUGUUUUUAUUUUAAAGAAUUCAUUGCGAUUAUAUUUGAACAUGUAUUAAGAAUAUGCACAUAUAAAUUUUUUAUGCCACUAUUUAACUAUUUUUUGAGUAUUAAUAAAGUUUGUUAAAAUAUAUAAAUCAUUUAGUCUAAGCUAAAACAAUAAAAAUAACAUAAUACAAUUACCAAGAUUUCUUUUUAAAAAUAAUAUUACUAAAUGAAUUCCCGUUUAUGUCCAUUAAAGAUAACAUAAUUCUUUAGGUGAGACAACUUUACUCUUUUUAAAUUUUUUUUAUUAAAAUAGAUUAUGCAUAUACUAUAUUCAUCACUAUUGUUAAUAUACUAGUAUUUUUAAAACAUAAAAACAAAUAUUUUUUUAUAAGAAAAUUCAACGUAACUUCAAAUGAAAAGAAUUUAUCUUCAUCUAACUUUUAUAUAAUAUAAUAAAACUCUCAUUAUUGUAUUUUUCUUAUUAUAAUAUUAAAAAAAAUAAGAGAAAAUAUAAAAAAAUUCAUAUACUAGGUCUUGCUAGGCAUGACCCAGCAUUGAUUUGUUUUGUUCUACUAAGAGCAGGACCCAACACCAUUUAAUGGGUUCUAUGAGCCGCAUGACCCAACCCCAUAUAGUGGCAAUAGUUAGAUCCUAGUGGCAACAGUAGCGAACGACCUAGCAAUCCUUGUUAACUAAAAAAAAAAAACACCUCUCACAAGUGCUGCAGUGUUGUUUAUAGUAUAAAAACUUUAUGCUAUGAAUUUAUAUACACAGUAAAUAAACAAUAUUUUUCCCACAUUUUUUUAAAUAAAAUAUAGAAUAAUAAAUAUGGAUAGGGUUAGCACAUAGAACAACCACGUUACACCUCGAAGAUGGAAUCGACCACCGACAGUCGCACUGCUACAGCUGUAUAAUACCAGCCGCCCUCGAUAACAGUGUAUUAGUCAAAACCUUAUCCCUGGUCUCUUGUCAGCGUAAGCAUUCAACAUAGAUGGCUGAUUAUUAUUAUUUUUUUUAAAGAUAGAUGAUGGAUUUUUCUACAAAAAUAUCAUGGUUCGGUAAAGAUUUUGGGAUAAUAAUACAUAUUAAAAAAAUAUUUAUAAAAUAACUUAGUUUUAUGUCUUAGAAUAUUUUUUUAUUCAUAAUUGUUAUUUAGAAUAAUAUUUGCAUUUCAAAAAAUAUUUUUCUAAUAUAUAUUAUUUAAUAAAUAUUUUUUAAAAUUAAUUAACCUAAUAAAAAAUCAUUUAAAACUUCUAUAAAAUUUAAAAGUUAGAAAAUAAGAUUCAAAGUACAAACUUUUAAUUAAAGCUUGUGUUUAAUUACUAUUCUUAAUAACAAUCGUAUUCAAACUAUAUUAUUUUUUUAACACUUUUUUAAUAUUUUUUAAUAUUACGAAACUCAAAAAUAUCUAACACGACAUCUAUAAAAAAGAAAUGAGGGGAGGGGGGGUAACAAAGCAAACAUAGAGAGAGAGAGAGAGAGAUUGAGCUAAGGACAAUGAUGAGGAAAAUAUUGGUUGCUGUGUUGAUUGUGAGCAUGGUCGCUUCUCAUUUUGAGAACGUAGCGUCUGAUGCUUCUGAUUGCAAUGACGCAUGUACCACCGGCUGCGUUCAAUCAAACACGAGACUUAUGCGCCGCUGUGAGAUCAAAUGUGGGAUAAGAUGCGGUCCAGAUUCUGAAGUCGAAGAUCACACAGGUUAAAGAUCUUGGGAGUCUCAAAGAUGAAUGCUACCUGGAAUCUAUUUAUGGAAUAAUUUGCAGCAACUCUUUUGACUGUUUUUAUUUUCUGUCAAAUUCUCAGUGUUGAUAUUCUUUGUAUUAGAAGUAAGAAGGGAAGGGGGAAUUAGGGCUAUCAAAUCUCAAAUUUGAAUAAAGAAAGGAGAGAAUCACUUUUGAAACUUCAGCUGCUGUAAGAAAAAUUGUAGCCUUUUGUUCUUGAAACUUGAUGAUCAUCAUUUUAGACACAGAAAAA